rnacentral:rRNA from 1 species
UACGAAGGGGGCUAGCGUUGCUCGGAAUUACUGGGCGUAAAGCGCACGUAGGCGGCUUUCUAAGUCGGGGGUGAAAUCCUGGAGCUCAACUCCAGAACUGCCUUCGAUACUGGAAAGCUCGAGUCCGGGAGAGGUGAGUGGAACUGCGAGUGUAGAGGUGAAAUUCGUAGAUAUCUGGAAGAACACCAGUGGCGAAGGCGGCUCUCUGGGACGGUACUGACGCUGAGACGCGAAAGCGUGGGGAGCGAACAGG